rnacentral:pre_miRNA from 1 species
GGUGCCCAGUGUUUGAAAAAGAAAAGGAAUCCUCUUAGUCCACUUUCCCAAAACUAGGCACCGA